rnacentral:rRNA from 1 species
ACGGGGGGUGCGAGCGUUGUCCGGAAUCACUGGGCGUAAAGGGCGCGUAGGUGGCUUUGUAAGUUUGCGGUGAAAGCCCGGGGCUCAACCCCGGGUCUGCCGUGAAUACUGCAAGGCUUGAGUACUGUAGAGGCAGGUAGAAUAUCGGGUGUAGCGGUGGAAUGCGUAGAGAUCCGAUAGAAGACCGGUGGCGAAGGCGGCCUGCUGGGCAGUAACUGACACUGAGGCGCGACAGCGUGGGGAGCAAACAGGA